AACGAACGCUGGCGGCAUGCCUAACACAUGCAAGUCGAACGAGACCUUCGGGUCUAGUGGCGCACGGGUGCGUAACGCGUGGGAACCUGCCCUUAGGUUCGGAAUAACUCCCCGAAAGGGGUGCUAAUACCGGAUAAUGUCUUCGGACCAAAGAUUUAUCGCCUUUGGAUGGGCCCGCGUUGGAUUAGCUAGUUGGUAGGGUAAAAGCCUACCAAGGCGACGAUCCAUAGCUGGUCUGAGAGGAUGAUCAGCCACACUGGGACUGAGACACGGCCCAGACUCCUCCGGGAGGCAGCAGGGGGGAAUAUUGGACAAGGGGCGAAAGCCUGAUCCAGCAAUGCGGGGGGAGUGAUGAAGGCCUUAGGGUUGUAAAGCUCUUUUACCCGGGAUGAUAAUGACAGUACCGGGAGAAUAAGCUCCGGCUAACUCC
rnacentral:rRNA from 1 species